GAUGAACGCUGGCGGCGUGCUUAAUACAUGCAAGUCGAACGAGGGACUUUUGUCUUCGGAUGAGAGUUUCCUAGUGGCGAACGGGUGAGUAACGCGUUGGUGACCUGCCCCGAAGUGGGGGAUAACAGUUCGAAAGGACUGCUAAUACCUCAUGAUAUCAAUUGGAUUAGAUACCUUUUGAUCAAAGGCGUAAGCCGCUUUGGGAGGGGCCUGCGUCCCAUCAGCUAGUUGGUAGGGUAAUGGCCUACCAAGGCUAUGACGGGUAGGGGACCUGAGAGGGUGGCCCCCCACAAUGGAACUGAAACACGGUCCAUACACCUACGGGUGGCUG
rnacentral:rRNA from 1 species